GUACUGUUUGUUGCCUCUGUCAGAGCCAAUUCAAGGACAUAUUGCAGUCAUAUGCACUGCAGAUAUUUCAGUUAAAAAAAAAAAAAAACCCGUUUUCCUGCAAUACAGCUGUACCUGCCGAGUGAAAGGACACACCACAAGAAUCUGGCGUUUCUGCUCGUUACAGAGCAUUCAACAGCUUACUGCACCAAACUGAAACCCUGCAGCCUGCCUCUCCUGUGCUUUCUUGUUGGACCGGAGCCCAUGGCCAGGCAAGCACACAUACUGUAUGUGAGCGCAAACUCACACACACAUGGGCAUGCGGAGAUCCUGGCCCACAACAAUCAGCCGCAGCAUGAACACCCACGCACAAACACACAUUUAAAUAACAUGGUAACACAUUCGACCAGGCACAGAUGACUGUCACAACCUCUCAGCAACUCACAUCACAACACUGCAAGAACAGUUAAAGCCUCGCUUCAGGGUGUUGCUCGCUGUGGCGACGGCAACAGAUGGAACUGCAGCAGCAGCAGCAGGGCAGAGCCUGAGGGGACAGCUACAGCUUCACUGUUGCGCACCACUGUUCCUGGCCUUUCUCGCUGAGCCUAGGCCCAGUCACGGCAUCUCCAGCUUCUGUUUCCAGCCAGACCACGGCUUCAUGGCUCGCUCCUCUCCAAUCAUGACACCAAGCAUGGUGGGAUAUCUGCCAGCUAAAUAAAUUUUCCUCUGCUCUCAGUAACUCUCAAAUAAUAAUAUCCCUUAAGCAUUAAUUACCCUUUGGGAAAUUGAUCAAAAUCAUGUUAGAUUAAACAUUUUACAAAAAGGGAGGUAGCACAGAGGAGACACACAUGACCUUGAACCACCAUUCUACACAGUUUCACAGACAACAAAGGCACCUCUAAUCAUGACCGUAGAAAAUUAUGUACAUACAGAUUCAUGUUCAUACUCAGUGCUGCAGGGGCUGGCUUUUUGCUGGGUAUAUGCCUAAUGCUGUCGGCAUGAAGUCUCUGUGAGAAACUCUGGAGCUUUGCCAGACAGCUGCAUAAGGAAAGGGUGAUGCUCUUGUGAUCAUGCCAGGUGCCCUCCUUACUACCAGCUGGGCAGUUUAAGAAAUGUUAACUCACAUAGUUCAGCUACAACAGAAGAAAGAAAAAAUAAAAACAGCACAACAAAUUUUCAUUUCACAAAAAUAAACUGCAUCAUUUAUCUCUAUCUUGUUUUUUCUGCUGGAAUGUGUCACAGUUUCUUGGUGUAUGGAAAAACAACCAUUUAACUGGCAAAUUUAAAAGGACAUUGUGGUAUUCUUUUAAUGAAUAACUCUGUAAGGUGAAUAAAGCCCGGUCCAUUUCAGAUACUAGGAAAUUUAACACCUGGGACAAGAGCUAUUUUAAGAGAAGCCUGUAGUUCACUUGUUGUUAUUCACACAUUUAGCAUGGGGUCAGACAAACAAGCUAAUUAUGAAUCUUAUCUUAAAAUAAUAAUAAUCUGCCUCUGUUUUUGCUAGCAUUUCUAGCUGAACCAUGCCGAGUGUAUUUACAUGCUGAAAUUACUUUAAAAUCUAGUGGGGUGUCAAUUAACUACCACCAUAUAUAGAGUUUACUUCAGCAAUCUAUCCAAAAACACCUGGCAACUGCUUUUUUCUUUUUUUUAAAAAAAACAAACAAACAUCCAUCUGCAGAUGACAACCAUGUUGUUUUUAUUUUGAAAGUUCAGUUACUGGGGACUAACCAUCCUCACUAAUGUUUUAUUUCUACUAGCUAGCUCCAUAGACAGUAUAAAAGACACCCGUAGCACCUGUGUGUAAGUAAAGCCAAUAUGUAAAGCUUAAACCCGCAUUCAGUUGUCAAUGGGAAAAUGUCCCUCGCCUCUGAGCUACGUAAACACUUUCCCGAUGAGUUAAUGGGCUCAGUCGUUCAUUUUGGUUCACAGUUUAUAAAACAUUACAUCCAUUUUGUAAAUACUGGCCAUCCGUUUCAGAAAAGAGGAUUAUGUGGGUUACGGUCACUGACCAACAACAUAUGACUGACAAGUCUUUAACCCAUCACUGUGAAGUUUCACAGAGAAAAACUCAAAUUAAACCCGACUCCUAUCAGAUUAUCUUUCAAAAGAUCAAGGUAGUGACAACGGAAAUGCUCAGGUUUAAAAUGGGACUUGAGAAACCAGUAGGUGAUAUCAUAGUAGCUACUUUCAUGUUGUGCCUGGCUGACUGAAAAGUUGUUGUAUUAAUGGAGCUCAAUACCAUUUUGCUUCUUCAACCAUCUUGGACACUGAAGGAUUGAUACUUCAAUCAGAGGUGUUCUAGUGCUGUCUAAAUCAGUUUGUUUUUAUUUUACUGUGAAACUUUGCUUUUUUUUUUCAUUGAGUUAAAAACAUUUUUUUUUUCAAUUUCAAGAUAGUUGUUAUUGUUUUACUAGUAAGGUGUCACCCUUUGUGACAAUUAAAGAGCAAAUACACCAAAAUUAUUAUUAUUAUUUUAUUUUUUUUUAAAAAAGCUCCUCGCUAAGCCCCUAACCUAAAGGUGCAAGAAACCAAGCAGCAACAAAAUGGACCCCUACAAAAGUAGACACUGAAACAGAAUUUAAUGAACUACAGCUACACAACUUUAAUAUUUGUGGAGAAAAUGCAGACGUUCAAGUACAAAUGGUUCUGAGUGGGGCUUCCAAGAUGAAAUUUUAAAAAAUAGCACCACAGCUGAAAGUGAUGCAGAGGCACAUAAGUAGAUGACCCUGAAUAGAGAUUAACCCAAUUUAAAUCAGGUUUUUGAUUGCUGUUUAAAAAAAAAAAAAAAACAAACAUUCAGUC